AUUGAACGCUGGCGGCAGGCCUAACACAUGCAAGUCGAGCGAGCGGCGGACGGGUGAGUAAUGUCUGGGAAACUGCCCGAUGGAGGGGGAUAACUACUGGAAACGGUAGCUAAUAACGCAUACUAUCAGAUGUGCCCAGAUGGGAUUAGCUAGUAGGUGGGGUAAUGGCUCACCUAGGCGACGAUCCCUAGCUGGGCUGAGAGGAUGACAAGCCACACUGGAACUGAGACACGGCCCAGACGCCUACGGGAGGCAGCAGUGGGGAAUAUUGCACAAGGGGCGCAAGCCUGAUACAGCCAUGCCGCGUGUGUGAAGAAGGCCUUCGGGUUGUAAAGUACUUUCAGUGGGGAGGCGUUACCCGCAGAAGAAGCACCGGCUAACUCCGUGCCAGCAGCCGCGGUAAUUC
rnacentral:rRNA from 1 species